rnacentral:lncRNA from 1 species
GGGAAGGCAGAGUAAGAUGUUUCGUUAUUCAAAAUUGGGUAAGGGUCAGCAAUAGAGUGGCAAGGAUAGUAGAAAGUGGUCUAAGAAGAAGUGAGUAGUUAUGGUUAUAAGGCAUAGUAUGCCCAAUCUCAGGCCAAUGGUCCCAGUCAACUCCGUCUAUCCUCCUUGCAAACUUUAUGGUUGGUUGCAUCGUGGUUUUUAUGAUGAGGGAAGGAACUAGUGUUUUAAUCGUGGCCAGCUGAGACACAUAUUUAAUGAUUGCCCUGGGGGCAAGGUUUCUACAUGGG